CGUACACUCCUACGGGAGGCAGCAGUGGGGAAUAUUGGACAAUGGGCGCAAGCCUGAUCCAGCCAUGCCGCGUGAGUGAUGAAGGCCCUAGGGUUGUAAAGCUCUUUCACCGGUGAAGAUAAUGACGGUAACCGGAGAAGAAGCCCCGGCUAACUUCGUGCCAGCAGCCGCGGUAAUACGAAGGGGGCUAGCGUUGUUCGGAUUUACUGGGCGUAAAGCGCACGUAGGCGGACUAUUAAGUCAGGGGUGAAAUCCCGGGGCUCAACCCCGGAACUGCCUUUGAUACUGGUAGUCUUGAGUUCGAGAGAGGUGAGUGGAAUUCCGAGUGUAGAGGUGAAAUUCGUAGAUAUUCGGAGGAACACCAGUGGCGAAGGCGGCUCACUGGCUCGAUACUGACGCUGAGGUGCGAAAGCGUGGGGAGCAAACAGGAUUAGAAACCCCUGUAGUCCCAU
rnacentral:rRNA from 1 species